rnacentral:tRNA from 1 species
GGGGCCAUAGCUCAGAUGGCUAGAGCGCACCCCUGAUAAGGGUGAGGUCAUUGGUUCGACUCCAAUUGGCCCCACCA